CAGUAGCCGCGGGAAAACGAAGGGUGCAAGCGUUACUCGGAAUUACUGGGCGUAAAGCGUGCGUAGGUGGUGGUUUAAGUCCGUUGUGAAAGCCCUGGGCUCAACCUGGGAAUUGCAGUGGAUACUGGGUCACUAGAGUGUGGUAGAGGAUAGUGGAAUUUCCGGUGUAGCAGUGAAAUGCGUAGAGAUCGGAAGGAACAUCUGUGGCGAAGGCGACUAUCUGGGCCAACACUGACACUGAGGCACGAAAGCGUGGGGAGCAAACAGGAUUAGAUACCCCGGUAGUCCCUGUCUCUUAUAC
rnacentral:rRNA from 1 species